rnacentral:tRNA from 1 species
GCCGCUUUAGCUCAAUUGGUAGAGCACCUGAUUUGUAAUCAGGCGGUUUCCGGUUCGAUUCCGGAAGGCGGCUCCA